GAUGAACGCUGGCGGCGUGCCUAACACAUGCAAGUCGAACGGAGUCGUUUUGGAAAUCUCUUCGGAGAUGGAAUUCUCGACUUAGUGGCGGACGGGUGAGUAACGCGUGAGCAAUCUGCCUUUAAGAGGGGGAUAACAGUCGGAAACGGCUGCUAAUACCGCAUAAAGCAUUAAAUUCGCAUGUUUUUGAUGCCAAAGGAGCAAUCCGCUUUUAGAUGAGCUCGCGUCUGAUUAGCUAGUUGGCGGGGUAACGGCCCACCAAGGCGACGAUCAGUAGCCGGACUGAGAGGUUGAACGGCCACAUUGGGACUGAGACACGGCCCAGACUCCUACGGGAGGCAGCAGUGGGGAAUAUUGCGCAAUGGGGGAAACGCUGACGCAGCAACGCCGCGUGAUUGAAGAAGGCCUUCGGGUUGUAAAGAUCUUUAAUCAGGGACGAAACAAAUGACGGUACCUGAAGAAUAAGCUCCGGCUAACUACGUG
rnacentral:rRNA from 1 species